AGCUCCAUUAGCGUAUAUUAACGUUGUUGCAGUUAAAAAGCUCGUAGUUGGAUUUUUGGCGUCGUGCGUGGUCCAAAUUGUUUGGUACUGCAGCGCGUUGCCAUCCUUGGGUGGAAUCUGUGUGGCAUUAGGUUGUCGCGCAGGGGAUGCCCAUCGUUUACUGUGAAAAAAUUAGAGUGUUCAAAGCAGGCUUAUGCCGUUGAAUAUAUUAGCAUGGAAUAAUGAGAUAGGACCUUGGUACUAUUUUGUUGGUUUGCGCACCGAGGUAAUGAUUAAUAGGGACAGUUGGGGGUAUUCGUAUUCCAUUGUCAGAGGUGAAAUUCUUGGAUUUUUGGAAGACGAACUACUGCGAAAGCAUUUACCAAGGAUGUUUUCA
rnacentral:rRNA from 1 species